rnacentral:tRNA from 1 species
AAGGUACUAGGUUAAAAAUUAAACUCUGGGUCUUCAAAACCUAAAAUGGAAAUUGUUUUCCGUGUCUUG